rnacentral:rRNA from 1 species
CCGAGUGCUCAUACCGCAGGGGCCACACCCGAUCCCAUUCCGAAUUCGGUCGUUAAGCCCUGCAGGGGCGAUGGUACUGCCUUGGCAACGAGGUGGGAGAGUAGCACGGUGCUCGGG